CACGUUGGAACCUGCCCCAAAGUGAGGAAUAAGCCACCGAAAGGUGGUCUAAUACUUCAUAAUAUCCAUCUCGUAUGGAUUAAAGCUUUAUGCGCUUUGGGAGGGGCCUGCGUAACAUUAGCUUGUUGGUGAGGUAAAAGCUCACCAAGGCUUCGAUGUUUAACUGGUUUGAGAGGAUGACCAGUCACACUGGGACUGAGAUACGGCCCAGACUCCUACGGGAGGCAGCAGUAAGGAAUCUUCCACAAUGGGGCAACCCUGAUGGAGCAAUACCGCGUGCAGGAUGAAGCGUUUCGGCGUGUAAACUGCUUUUAUCACCGAAGAUUAUGACUGUAGGUGAAGAAUAAGGACCGGCUAACUACGUG
rnacentral:rRNA from 1 species